CGUAAUUGGUCCCAUGGCAUGUGUCCCACCAGUACUACUCUUCCCCAUUCUGUAAUCUUCUAGCUAGACUUGUCCGUUCUUCUUUCCUCACACAAGCAAGCAUGUUCCUGCCCGAUCCCCUUUCUCCUCUCUUAUUUUUUCUUCUCACUCAAAAUUUGUUGCUGAUGGAUACCUUCCAUCAGCUAGCUCUCUUGAUUCGCUGCAUUGAGGAUAGGCGCGUCCAGCCUGAGGUGCAUCAGCAAGGCGGCACUGUUGAGCUCGGCCAGCAAAUCCUCAAGCUCUCGUACAUGUAACAUAUGGUUCCUCUUCCUUUUCUUGUGAAUCCACCAACCCAUGGUCUUUGUGUGCUGUUGAAUCUGUUGAUUUGUGGUCCUAGUGACUGGCGCUUCCUGAAUAGUGGGUAGCAACGCCCAAGGAUCUGCUGCGCUAGGGAGGAGGCGAGAUCAUCGAUCUGCAUGCUGCUGUUGAUGUUGUCGUCCGUGCAUUUGAUUUGGUCGUGGUUUUCAUCUUGCAACUCUCUUGGAAACAGCUUUAGUAUUAGGAAGGUGGCUACGUUUUCUUCCCCAAGCGCGCAAGCCAGAGGCAUCAUCGCAAUUUCCGCUCGAGGCAGCUCGACACAUCAACCUCAUCCUCCACAGCGGCAACCGUCUUCGAAGUUGAACUGCAGAUGGAGCUGCUGGCAUUACAACAGGAACCCACUAUAGCAUUUGAGGUUGAUCAAAUGUAUGGUACUUACUUGAUUUGGUGUGAUUGCUAGACGGAGCUGGCUUGAUGUGGUUUGAUUGCUCGACGGAGAUGGCAUGUGCCUCUGGAGAAAGACAUUUCCAAAGUGCCACUGCUUGGAGGAAGUUGACCUCGAAGCGUUGGUCGCCGAAGGAAGAUGAUAUAGAAGUUGUACCCUAAAAUCUAGAGAACAAUGAACCUUCAAGGUCGUGGGGAAGGUAUUAUACGGAUGGCUGAGUUUAUCAUGCCUGCACGAUGGAAAGAGAGGCUUUUUGGAUGCCGUCUGGACAAAUUUUCUUUUUUUUAGGGUUCUGGAUAGAUAUUUCGUUUGGAGAGAUAUGAUAGUUUUGAUUUGUUAGGGGAUAUUGGACCUUCGUUUCCCCUAGGAUGGACUGAUCGCUCAUGGCAUGGUCCACCCUGGACCUUUUAUUUUCUAUAGGGUGGCUGGAUCGCUCAUGGCAUGGUCCAACAUGUGGGAUCGUGGCAGCGUGAAAUUCAACAUGAAGUCGUCAUGGCACGGUAUGGUCCUGCCCGUUUUAAGAUCUAACGGUUGUACUUUGUCCUCGCAUGGAAUUAAAGGUCAGAUAUUUCUAAUUAUUGUGAGAUUUACUAA